UUUUGCGUUAGAGUUGGUACCAAGCAACUUGACCUUCCAACCUUACCUGCUGGAGGACUCAUGCUUGAGGAGCCUUUACAGAGUGAAUGAGUCUUUGAAAGCACUCUCUGCCUCAAGCAAAAAUGGGGGCUGCAGAAGUAAACGAGAGCUAUGUGGAGAACUCUGGAGCAGAUGAAGAAUGUGUUCUUACUCUUCUCUCCAGGCCUGCAUUGGCUCCAAGGAAGACCUUGGAUGGGGCUGCACCCUGAAAACCACCAACCCAACAACCAUCUUAAACACCUACUGUGUGCCCAGUCCUGCAGGAACUUAUAAAGACAAACUCCCUUCCCUCAAGUGUACAAACCAGCCAUAAGCAGAGAAGUUGAAAACAAAAUAAUUGGAACUUAUCAGUAACAGGGCAUCCAAAAAGCAAGCUAGCAGAGCACUCUGGGGCUGAAGGUACUUCAGAAGCAGGAAACGUCCUAUCAGCUGAUAGUUUUGCAAGAUUAGUUAGCCAGGGUUUUGUAGGAUGGAAAGUUUCUGCGAGAGCUCUGAAUGCAAUCAGAAAAUGUUUAGCUGUACUAUUAGCCCUGCUUCAACUACUUAGACAUAGAAAUGUUUCUGAAAAGCACACCUGCCUCCCAUCACAGACUUCUGAAAUCCUAGGAAACACUUGCAGUGGCCAUUUCAGAUCAGUGGAUGCCCCAAACCAGAUACACACACUUUUCUAACUUUUCUAACUUUUCUAACAUUUGCUUUAUAUUCCCCAUAUCCACCCACAGAAAUAGAAAUUCCAAUUCUGGCCCCUUCACUCCUUUAUCCAAAAAAUAUUUAGUGAGUGUACACGAUGUACCAGGUCCUAAAGCCACAUUGUAAUUUUUACAAAGCCAAGUUGAUGAUAGGGUAUAGUUACUGAUCCAGAAAUAUUUUUGGCUAAUGGCUAGUGGCCUCUCUGAAAAUCAGAGCCUUCAUCUAAGCUCACUUUAUUUUGUGAGCUUCUCCAAGAGGCACUAUGGUAUAUUCAUUGCUGUCCCACUGCCAUUGGGCCCAGUAUAUGAGAUCCUGUUUUGAAGCACAAUUUAUUGAGUGGGUUAACAUGAUGAGGAACAUCCUGAGCAGAUACCCAAGUGGCCUAAAUGCUGGAACUGGAGAAGUUUCUUCCUCAUAAGGGGAAUUGGAGGGGUGCAAUCUUGGGAUUAGGGACAGUGUGUGAACAACAGUCCCUUAGGAUGAUUUUAGGCCAACAAUGGCAAAUGUUUUAAAGCAACUGUUGAAUUUUUUUAUUCAAAAAUACAUAUCAAGCUUCUGUUAUGGAUUAAAAAAUGAAGAGCACUGAGUUGCAUGGUUGUAUAGUUCAUAGUCUACUUGGCAAGACACACAAGUGAACAUGCACAUCAUGUCAGUACAAUGUAAUACAUAUGGGAAGUAUAGUGUCCUCUGAACACACAUAGGAAGAUUAUUUAAUCUGGUCUUGGAAGCAGAGGGAGGGAGCAGUCACUUGAGAUUUUCCUUCAUUAUUAUUCCCAGGAUAAAGCACUGUCCUGGGAUCAAGCAAAAGGUUUUGAAAGAACAUUCAGAGUACACUAUUCUUAAGAGUCUAGAACCACUAAGUCAAACAUUUUCAAAUCCAAGUCCUGUACUGGUUGUAUGUAGUCUAGGACCUUAAAGGUCAUUCUGUCUAUACUUCUAAAGCAAAGAAAACAGAUUUUCAGAGUGGCUUCUGCUGAAGAAGUAGGUUUUUCAUUCAAUUAACAGCCACUUGAGCACCUGUCAGAGUCAUGAACUUCAUACAUGUAGAGCCUAUUAUGUAUCCCAGAUCUUCUCUUACUCUCCCUCUCUCUUAUGUAUCUUUUUCCCUCUCUCUCUGCAUAUACAAAAUUCUAACCCUACCCCCAACAACUGAUCCUAAUGUUAUGGAUGAGGGAAUUAAUUAUUUCAGCUAGUGAGUAGAAGAGCUAAAACUCAAUCUUACUUUAGAGGUCCUGUUCUGUCCACAUACUGCUGCAUAACCUAAUCAAAACCACUACUUAUUUUUUUGUUCUGACCAAAUCCCACAUCACUAGGCCCUGUGGUUGAAGCUUCUCAUCCGUCUCAUAGUUCUUUCACUGCUAUCUCCAUUGAAAAAGAUCCUGUUUUAUGAAAAUAAAACUCCCAGGGGGUGGUCUCCAGAAGUAGUUUUUCUGAAGUGGAUCUCUCUGAGGCAGGUGGCAGUCUGCAUGGACGCUUUUCAUUUUCCCUCUCUUUGCUCUGUGUGUGUGUGUGUGUGUGUGUGUGUGUGUGUGUGAGAGAGAGAGAGAGAGAGAGAGAGAGAGAGAGAGAGAGAGAGAGUGUGUUUUGUGGGUUGGGAGGAACCGAGGAAAGAGCAUUGUGUCCAAUUAUGUGGAGUCCUAGUCAGCAGCUAGUAACUGUAUGCAACUCAUUUCAACUUAGCACUUCAGUUUUCUCAUCUGUAAAAUCAGAAGCUCUCUUUCAGAUCUGAAUCUCUCGGCAAGUACUGAAGGCCAAAGGGAGGUGCAUGUGGUUUCAUGGAGCUGGGGGUUGGAAUUGGGAAAAGGACGCUGCAUUUGCUAAAGGAUUGCAGAAGGGGCUGAACCCUUGCCACCCACAGCUACCUAGGAGAUGAAGCCUAUCCUCAAGGGGUCACAGACAGUGAUUAGUAUUUUUAUUUUAAUAAUUAGUAUUAUAAUAAUAAUUAGUAUUUUCAUUUUGUAUCCUCAGCUCCACAUUUGCUUCUAGAUUUCAAUGAAAGUGAAUUAUGUUAAUUGAAGAAAUCUCUUUAAAUGGUCAAGUCAGCAUGUUAUAAUCUUGUCAAAUCAUAUGAAAUUUUACUUGGAGAAUAAAAG
rnacentral:lncRNA from 1 species